GAUUAGCUCAGUCGGUUGGAGCGUGAUGCUGUUAAAACCAAGGUCGUGGGUUCGAUUCCCGUUCA
rnacentral:tRNA from 1 species